rfam:Populus trichocarpa scaffold_4_contig_377, whole genome shotgun sequence.
UCUAGAACUCAAGAUAUGGGCUGAACACUGAAUAGUGUCUGGGCUGUAGGACAGAUUUCAACUUCUCCGUUGUUGCUAUCAUUUGAACUUGAAAAUGAUACUUUUAAAUCUCAGACUCUUCAUGAAAGUUUUAGUCCUAUGACUUAGCUUUACAUA